GCCAGCUGUGUAUCUAACCCAAUAUUUUACAAUUUUUGAGAGAGGAAAACCUUGGUUGAUGGUGCCUUUUUAUUUUUCUAGAUGCUUUCUAGCAACUGAAUACCUUUGAACUGAUUAUUAGUGCCUGAACCCCAUAAUUGAGUGCUUAUGUUGCAAAACACAAAGAAACACAAGUAUUAUCUAGUACAAAAUUCAAACAUUCCUUUUUAUUUUCCCAGAAUUUCUGGACACUAUGACACUUAAAAUGAGAACUGGAAGAACUAAAAGCAAAUGGAAAUUUGUCAUCAUCUUCAUUUCAAGAUUGAUUUAAGACCUUUCCUACAGCCAGUAAAACUAUUUGGAUUCACACAUCUCCAAUAGCUGCAACACAAUCUUCAGUUCCUUGUCCCACCAAUAACCUCAGCUGUGUCCUGGAGGGUAAACUCACACUGCAUCAAUCAACAGUCUUCGUGGUCUGUAGCAUAGCCAUGUGAACUGUGGCUUACACUAUGUUCUCGUUUGCUCCCUUGACUUCUGGCAGUUGGGAACUGCACAAAAAUGAAUUAACUGUUACAAAGUUUCCUGGCAUGCUGUACUUUACAUGAUUGGAAAGUUACAUUGCUAGAAAGAACAAAGAAUAUAGACGUUUACACUGAAGUUCGGAACCAAAUGCCAAUGGUCAAAUGAUCAUCGUGUACCUUUCUUGUCUGCUCUCCCCCUCGCCCUGCCACUGGUAAGCACUGGGCAAGACCAGUUAAAAAGUUUCUGGGAGAUCAAAAAGAUCUCAGUAAAGGAACAUUUUGGACUACUCAUUUAAAAAAGAACCAAAACACAAAAAAACCAACUCCCAAACACCACCAUAAAACUGAACUUGGAAAGGCAAAGAGGCCAGCAGUUUAAGAAUACAUUAAGAUUGCACCUGCAAAUGAGUUCAUUCACUUCUUUCCAUGAACAAACCUGGUGCCUCUAUUCCCAAAUGAGAAAUAAACACACAACAUCGGGCAGGCAGACAUCCAAAUGCCCAGACAGCGUAACCGUGUGCCUACAAAACUCAUAUGUAGAAAAUGGAGCCGUGAAUGUGGACUUCAGCCUAACUUGUGGAUCUGGAGCUGUUGUGAAGGAAAAGAACAAAUGAAGACACAAAUAAGUAGCCCACCCUUGUCAUUGAAACUAUAUUUAAAAGGAGCUGCUGUGGCUUCAGUUCUGAAGCAUUUGACCUCCUGGGAUAGAGGAGAUACAAAAGAUUUUUAUUUGUUUGCAGAUUGUAAGAUAAAAUGCAAUACAUCUGAAAAUACAAACCUGAGAUGAGUCUUCUUAUAAAUGAUCUUGGGAGAAGAGGAACAGGUACAAGGAAAAAAAAAUAAUGAAAGAGGCAGAGAAAGGAAUGACAGACGUGCAGGUUCUAUGAAUAAAGAGCUAAGAAAAGACCCGUGGAAAUAAUUG
rnacentral:lncRNA from 1 species